rfam:Crassostrea gigas strain 05x7-T-G4-1.051#20 contig13526, whole genome shotgun sequence.
GUCAGGAUGGCCGAGCGGUCUAAGGCGCCAGACUCAAGAGCAACAACUCUUCGCUCCAAUCACUGGAGUGCGAGUGUUCUGGUCCACGAAUGUGGGCGUGGGUUCGAAUCCCACUUCUGACA